rnacentral:rRNA from 1 species
AGAGUUUGAUCCUGGCUCAGAACGAACGCUGGCGGCGUGCCUAACACAUGCAAGUCGAACGGGGAUAAGUAGCUUGCUAUUUAUUCUAGUGGCGCACGGGUGAGUAACGCGUAGAUAAUCUGCCUUAGACUCUGGGAUAACAUCUCGAAAGGGGUGCUAAUACCGGAUAAGCCCACGGGGACGUGAGUUCUUGCGGGAAAAGGGGGCCUCUGCAUAUGCUCUUGAUCUAAGAUGAGUCUGCGUACCAUUAGCUUGUUGGUAGGGUAAUGGCCUACCAAGGCGACGAUGGUUAGCUGGUCUGAGAGGAUGAUCAGCCACACUGGGACUGAGACACGGCCCAGACUCCUACGGGAGGCAGCAGUGGGAAUUUUGCGCAAUGGGGGAAACCCUGACGCAGCAACGCCGCGUGAGUGAUGAAGGCUUUCGGGUCGUAAAGCUCUGUCUAGAGGGAAGAAGUGAUAUUCGGUUAAAUACCCGGGGUUUACUUGACGGUACCUCUGAAGGAAGCACCGGUCUAACUCCGUGCCAGCAGCCGCGGUAAUACGGAGGGUGCAAGCGUUGUUCGGAAUUAUUGGGCGUAAAGCGCGUGUAGGCGGUUUAGUUAAGUCUGAUGUGAAA